AUAUAUUUGCAUAAAAAAUGCAAACAGAUUGGGUCAAGUAUGUAGAACGAAGGUUAGAUUGAUGGAAAUGCGACUGAGCAGUGGAGAUAAUAAAGACAUUUAACAAGAAUAACAGGUCUAAUUACUCUAUUAUUUUUUUUUUUUCGUUGACAUAUUUUAAGUUACAGAACUUCUUUAUCAGUCCACAGUCAUGUUUGCAGCACAUAUUCAGUUUUUGUGUGAAGCUCUGUUUGAACUACCCACUUCUAUACAAAGCUGAUAACUAUUAUAGACGCACCUACGUUGAUUGCUAAACUUAUGAUUACUUUUAUUAUACAUUUUAAGUGGAGUGUUUCUUCGCCAUAGAGCUUUGCUGUUGUUGAAACGUGUCAAUAUCCAUGAUGUAUUUGGCUAUUGGAUUGUUGAUUCUCUUCGUGGCCCAGACACACAGCCAAACUGAACCAAUGGGCUUAAAAUCAUAUUUAGGAUCUGAUGUAGUAAUGACAUGUGUUAAUGCAACUAUGAAUGGAAUGCCCAAGUGGAUUCUUCCACAUGGUAAAAUGGUGGAUGAAGAAAAAUAUGAGAUAUACAAUAAGUCAUUAAAAAUUAAAAGUGUUACUGAAGAAGACAGAGGAAUCUAUGCUUGCACUUCUAGAGAUGAUGCAGUAUAUAACAUAUACCUACUAAAUAUGGCUGGCCCUCUAUUUGACAGCACUUCUGAUAAAUACCAUACCCAGUUUCUUAUUGGUGGUAUAGCAAGUGUAGUUAUGUUAGGUAUAUGUACUAUUGUAUUGCUUACUUAUCAUUUUCACUAUGAAACCCGGGAGCGUAAACAUGGAGAAGCUGAAGGUAACAUUAAUAAUGGCUUUACAGAAUUAGACAGCACGCAACUUUGAUUUCUUUUCUAUAAACUUUUCAAUAAAAGUAAACUCAAACAAAUUCAAAGCUAUGAUAAGUGAUUGGUUUUAUCUAACAGUAAUUCACUAUUAGGUCUCAAAAGACUUUAAAUAUUUUUAAUUGAAAAUUGUGUCUGAAAAUAUCAUGAAAACUUUUUUAAGAUUUAUUAAUACUGUAAAAAUCUUUCAACAACAUCUAAAAUGUUUAAAUGAAAUGUAAUUAAUCAUAGUUAAAAAGAAAAAAGUUAAUGUACAGACUGGAAUGAAAAAUAUAACCUGUAUCAAUUUUUGUGUACUAUGAAAGAACUGUAAACAUUUUUCAAAAUUGUUGAUUUGUGAUUUUUAAACAUUAAAUUAAUGGAUACCUUAAAUCAUAAUCAUAACAACCAUUAACCAGUAUGAAAUUUGUUCUCCAAUGUGAAGGAAAUACCAACAUAAAUGCAAUUAAGCAUUUUAGUUUUGAAUAUAUUUUAAUUUAAUAUUAGCUACUAACUGAAUAAAUAUCAUAUCUUCAAUACUCACAAAA
rnacentral:lncRNA from 1 species